AGAGUUUGAUCCUGGCUCAGGAUGAACGCUGGCGGAAUGCUUAACACAUGCAAGUCGCACGCUCCGGCAACGGGGAGUGGCGGACGGGUGAGGAACGCGUAGGAACAUGUCCAGAGGUGGGGGACAACCCUGGGAAACCGGGGCUAAUACCGCAUACGGCCCGAGGGCCAAAGCCGCGAGGCGCCUUUGGAGUGGCCUGCGUCCGAUUAGCUUGUUGGCGGGGUAACGGCCCACCAAGGCUCCGAUCGGUAGCUGGUCUGAGAGGAUGAUCAGCCACACUGGGACUGAGACACGGCCCAGACUCCUACGGGAGGCAGCAGCCAGGAAUCUUGGGCAAUGGGCGAAAGCCUGACCCAGCAACACCGUGUGGGUGAUGAAGGCCUUCGGGUCGUAAAGCCCUGUUGAUAGGGACGAAGGGCGAAGGGUUAAUAGCCCGGAGCUUGACGGUACCUUUCGAGGAAGCCCCGGCUAACUACGUGCCAGCAGCCGCGGUAAUACGUAGGGGGCGAGCGUUGUCCGGAUUUAUUGGGUUUAAAGGGUGCGUAGGCGGCCUUUUAAGUCAGUGGUGAAAGCCCAUAGCUCAACUAUGGAACUGCCAUUGAUACUGAAAGGCUUGAGUACAGACGAGGUUGGCGGAAUGGAUGGUGUAGCGGUGAAAUGCAUAGAUACCAUCCAGAACUCCGAUUGCGUAGGCAGCUAACUAGGCUGUAACUGACGCUGAGGCACGAAAGCGUGGGGAGCAAACAGGAUUAGAUACCCCCGUAGUCC
rnacentral:rRNA from 1 species